GGGUUAUUAGCUCAUUUGGUAGAGCUUCUCGUUUACACCGAGACGGUAAGUGGUUCAAAUCCGCUAUAACCCA
rnacentral:tRNA from 1 species